rnacentral:rRNA from 1 species
AGUGCCUUGGAACAGGAUACCGCAGAGGGUGAGAGUCCCGUAUCCGGCCGGCGGUGCGCUCCGUGUGAGGCCUCUUCGACGAGUCGAGUUGUUUGGGAAUGCAGCUCCAAGCGGGUGGUAAAUUCCAUCUAAAGCUAAAUACUGGCCAGAGACCGAUAGCGAACAAGUAGAGUGAUCGAAAGAUGAAAAGCACUUUGAAAAGAGAGUCAAACAGUACGUGAAAUUGUUGAAAGGGAAGCGCAUGGGGGCAGACUUGGCCGCGGUGUUCAGGGUGCGUUUUUUGCGCCUGCACUUCGCCGCGGACAGGCCAGCAUCGGUUCCGGGGGCUGGAGAAAGGCGCUGGGAAGGUGGCAGCCUUCGGGGUGUGUUAUAGCCCGGCGCGCAAUGCGGCCACCUGGGACCGAGGACCGCGCUUCGGCAAGGAUGCUGGCGUAAUGGCCUCAUGCGG